GUAGCCUAGUGGUUAAAGGGUAGGGGCGGCAGGGUAGCCUAGUGGUUAGAGUGUAGAGGUGGUAGGGUAGCCUAGUGGUUAGAGUGUAGAGGCGGCAGGGUAGCCUAGUGGUUAAAGGGUAGGGGCGGCAGGGUAGCCUAGUGGUUAGAGGGUAGAGGUGGUAGGUAGCCUAGUGGUUAGAGUGUAGAGGUGGUAGGUAGCCUAGUGGUUAGAGUGUAGAGGUGGUAGGUAGCCUAGUGGUUAGAGUGUAGAGGUGGCAGGGUAGCCUAGUGGUUAGAGUGUAGAGGUGGCAGGGUAGCCUAGUGGUUAGAGUGUAGGGGCGGCAGGUAGCCUAGUGGUUAGAGUGUAGAGGUGGUAGGGUAGCCUAGUGGUUAGAGUGUAGAGACGGCAGGUAGCCUAGUGGUUAGAGUGUAGAGGUGGCAGGUAGCCUAGUGGUUAGAGUGUAGAGGUGGUAGGUAGCCUAGUGGUUAGAGUGUAGAGGUGGUAGG
ensembl:lncRNA